rnacentral:rRNA from 1 species
GACGAACGCUGGCGGCGUGCUUAACACAUGCAAGUCGAACGGAAAGGCCCUGCUUCUGUGGGGUGCUCGAGUGGCGAACGGGUGAGUAACACGUGAGUAACCUGCCCUUGACUUUGGGAUAACUUCAGGAAACUGGGGCUAAUAACGGCUAGGAGCUCCUGCUGCAUGGUGGGGGUUGGAAAGUUUCGGCGGUUGGGGAUGGACUCGCGGCUUAUCAGCUUGUUGGUGGGGUAGUGGCUUACCAAGGCUUUGACGGGUAGCCGGCCUGAGAGGGUGACCGGCCACAUUGGGACUGAGAGACGGCCCAGACUGCUACGGGAGGCAGCAGUGGGGAAUAUUGCACAAUGGGCGGAAGCCUGAUGCAGCAACGCCGGGGGCGGGAUGACGGCCUUCGGGUUGGAAACCGCUUUCGCCUGUGACGAAGCCUGAGUGACGGUAAUGGGUAAAGAAGCACCGGCUAACUACGUG